GCUGGGUGUGGUGGCGGGCACCUGUAAUCCCAGCUACUCAGGAGGCUGAGGCAGGAGAAUUGCUUGAACCCAGGAGGCAGAGGUUGCAGUGAGCCAAGAUCACACCACUGCACUCCAGCCUGGGUGACAGAGUGAGACUCUGUCUCAA
rnacentral:sRNA from 1 species